AUCUUAGUGGUGUAAUUAACACACUUCAUUUUCGUUGAUGAGAAGAAAAAUCUUUUUCCUGAGAUA
rnacentral:tRNA from 1 species